rnacentral:rRNA from 1 species
AGAACGAACGCUGGCGGCAGGCUUAACACAUGCAAGUCGAACGAUGUAGCAAUACAUAGUGGCGCACGGGUGAGUAACGCGUGGGAAUGUACCAUUUGGUGGGGAAUAACUGAGGGAAACUUCAGCUAAUACCGCAUACGCCCUUCGGGGAAGAUUAUCGCCAAAUGAUCAGCCCGCGUGAGAUUAGGUAGUUGGUGGGGUAAUGGCCUACCAAGCCUACGAUCUCUAGCUGGUCUGAGAGGAUGAUCAGCCACACUGGAACUGAGACACGGUCCAGACUCCUACGGGAGGCAGCAGUGGGGAAUAUUGGGCAAUGGAGGAAACUCUGACCCAGCCAUGCCGCGUGAAUGAUGAAGGCCUUAGGGUUGUAAAGUUCUUUCGCCGAUGAAGAUAAUGACGGUAGUCGGAGAAGAAGCCCCGGCUAACUUCGUGCCAGCAGCCGC